CGCUUGUCCCGGGGUCUCUGGGCCACCCAAGGCCACCUGCUCCUCAGUUCAGGAUGAAACCUAAGAGCAUGACGUUUGCGGGUGAAACACAGGCAGCAUUAAAAUGAAUGUUCAGGGAAACAGACGCUGUCACAGUCCUGAUCUUUGUCCCAGUGGGGAAGGGGUUCCACUGUGCUGAGAUGAUGACCCAGGUCCACACAGACAAUCUCAGGACUAUGGAGAGAAGAUCCGUGUAAAACACAACCACCUGGAGCCACAGACGGUCAUCUGGGAGGAAACACUAGGAGUCUGAGUGUAAGCACAGGGCUGUGAAGACUGGAUCCUGAGUGAUGAGCAAAGUCUCUAUUUACAGGGGAGAUUCCCGAGCACCAGGCUUGGCAGUGUGAGCGCCCCCUGCAGGUGGACAAAGGAGCCUAGUGUCUGUGUGGUGCUUGCAGGCCAGGGCCUCUGCUUUAAAGAGAAAUCAUCUCUCCGUGGUCAGCUGGGCAUCAUGCGCCCAUCACCCAUGACCUCCUGUAAACUUACAGGAAACCAGUUCCCAGUCUGCUUCUUGGGCAGAACCUGGGACCUGGCACCUUGGGCUAUUGGGGCCUGACCCUGGGGACUUGGAGGGUUCCUGAUUUCAGACCCGAAAUUACUCACCCUUGUGACUCUGCUUGUCGUAGGCUGUCAGGGAACGUAGGUUCCUUAGAAAUGUCUGCUAGUUGACCUUGGCUUUCCCUGUCUCCCUCUCCCAAUAAUCGGGCUCCUCCUGCUCCAUCCAUGGCGCCCAUGGCUCCAUCCUCGGAUUCUCCGUGUCGCUGUUGCUGUCGAAGAGCACGAACUCCGUGCAGUCCACAUAGCCGACUUCUAUGUACCAGGGCUCCCCGAGGCCGGGCCGGGACACGGCCGAGUGGAAAUACCGCAGCGAGUUCGAGCCUGGGGGCGGCGUGUAGUCCGCGAGAGACCCUGAUCCUCCUUUCGGGACCCUCCUUUCGGGACCUCGGGCAGAUGAGCGGGCCUGGAGGGGAGCAGGGCUCCGGGUUCUGGACCAGCAUGGAGAAAGGGGCGGGGGGGAUUUUGCUGGGCGAUGAGGGCCACUGCUUCCUGUGUGCCCGUCCUCCCAUAAGAGCAGGUUUCCUUCCCACCCCGCACUUACCUGCGCGGGCUUGAAUCAGGGUUCCGGAGGCCGCCAUCAAGGAGAACAAGCAAGGAAGGCUGCCUACCAUUAGGAGAUCUGGGGCUCCUCUAAGUCUGUGCAGGCUCUAUAACCAAUGCUCAGUGGCUCCGCAGUAACGUUCCACCCACGCGGGGCGGUUCACAAUGACCAACCCACCAAUCAUUGUCCAGGACUACACCAGCCAAGGAAGGAGAGCACUGCAUAGUUUUUCUUCAGUGUUCUGGCAGCAGGAACUGGCAUUGGUUAGGCGCUGGAGAAGUGAAGGCCCACAGCCCUGGGCUUCCUGGACAGCCCGGGGCACUACGACUUUGUCCCGAAUACUUACAAUAGAAAUCAAAUGAACUCAAUACUGCGUUCUUUAGAUCGGGGCUCACAUGAGACGUGGCAUCCUCAAGUGGCAGCUGGAAAGAGCUCAGGUUCUUGCUGACUGUCCCUAGGAUUCCUUUCCUACUUGUCUGGGCCUCUCUUGAGGCUGCUCUAGCUGCAGUAGCUGGCUCCCCAAGAGUCUGUCAUGAGGGAGAGAGCAAAGGGGAGGGGAGAACCCCCUGGGCAAGACUCUCAGGGAGUGGGAGUGGCGGCCAGGUUUUGACUCUUAGCAUGGCCAUCAUUCAGUUUCCGUUAUUUAAAAUCUGUACAUGCCUAGCAACAGUAUUCUCACUCCUACAUGAGGAAUUUGUAGAGGAAGCAGUCAAUCCGUGGAGCCCUGGACUCCCUGGCAUGAAGAUGCACCCACAAGUGUAAAGGUUGAAGGAGAAAUGGGGAUGUGAGAAAGCAACAGAAUUCUACAGAACAACUGAGAAUUGACUCUUUAAAGGACAGCACACCAGCUAUAAUGAAAUGAUCUCUAGCAAGAGAGAGCCAUUUAAUUUUCAUUUCCUAGAUGGUAGCACAGGUUUCCCAGUAGGUUAGUGGUUACAAGAGUGUACCUUUGCCGCUUGGUGGUGGCACACGCCUUUAAUCCCAGCACUUGGGAGGCAGAGGCAGGCGGAUCUCUGUGAGUUCGAGGCCAGGCUGGACCGACAGCCUCGAAAACAAUACAGAGAAACCCUGUCUCGAAAAACCUUUUAUUCCUCAGUCUUGAGAAUCUUGUGACUUACAUACCUGGCAGGAACACACCAAUGCCUGGGAAGGGAAGGAGAUGCAGCCUGGAGAGCAGCAGUUCUGAGGAAGCAGAAAUCACAAGCAGAGAAGACAGCACAGAGCAGCAAAGAAGAUGGAGAAGGAGCAGCAGGGUCUGAUGAAGAAGGAGCAAAGCAAAAUCAGUGAGAAGCUUUCCCAACACAGGCCUCUCAGAGAGCCUGGGGGAGAAGUGUGGGCUGGAAACCUGCAGGGCAAGCACUUGUAUGGAAUGAAGAGCAUUUUCAGUAUGAAAACACACUGCUUAUCAUAAUGUGUUUAUGAGCCAUCCAGGAAGCUUGGGUUACCCCACACCACCUGAAAAUAUUGGUAAUCCAAACUUAAAGCACAAAGAUAAUGAUAAAUCUGUGUUGUUCAACACAUUCCAAAUAUAAAACAAUUGUUUCCUGUACAAAAGUUAUGCUAAGUAGAGUACAACAGACCCAUAUCUCUCAACCCAGUACUUCCAGCUAAAUAAUGUUAUGGCAUGAAAGUACUCUCUGCUAUCUAUCCAGGGUGCAAAAUUACAACAGAAUUCUAGUAGUGUUUCUUGUCCAUUGUGGCAUACUAAUCUGCAUUUGGGGAAAAAAGUUUCAGUUCUCCGUAAUCAAUUGACAUGAAUUAGACAAAGUGUUGUAGGGCUUUAUACUGUCCUCAGUUCUGUUUCUAGCUGGUGUUGAUAUACAUAUUCUAUAGUUUGAACUGACAUUACUUGGUGCAACAGUAAGGAAUUUGAUGAUGUGGGUUUUCAAAAAUAACAUUAAAUGCAACAAUUAUGAUUAUGUUUUAUAAAAAAGAGAACUUUUAGAAUUCCACUAUAAAAGCAGCACACCAAUUUGGAUAAUUUUUUCCCUGAAACAAGGUUUCACUGUAUAACAGAGGGUCAUCAUGUACGUUGUGAAUUCUGAUCUGUCCUCUGUAAACCUAUAAUCAUGUUCUCAAGCUCUCAGCAGAUACUAUGCUGUUGGGAACCAUGAAUUUUCUAAUUAUAUUUUACAUGCUAUAAUAUGACUUUUACAUGAAUGAUACUUUGUUUAAAUGCAAGUAUUUUACUCCAAUUACAUUAUAAAAGGUACAUUGUUACUAAAUGAAUUUUGAGUUUAAAAAUCAAGUUAUCAUUUGUUACAUAUUGUUCUUUACAAAUGAACAAGGCCUUGCAUAAAGGCAAGAAAAGAUAGAAAGAUGAAAAUAGUCUUUUUUUCUUAAUGGCAGGUGUAGCUGAUAAACAGCAUCUCCAAACAGCUGUGUGGUGGGGGUAUGCACCUGUAAUCCCAACAAUCAGGAGGUAGAGGCAGGUGAAUCUCUGUGAGUUCAGGUCAGCCUGGCCUACAGACUGAGUUCCAGGACAGUCAGGACUACACAGAGAAACCUGGUCUUAAACAAACAAACACAAAGAAAAAGAACAGGCUAUGAACCAACUGUGCGGGAUUCCUUAUAACCAAGCACCUUGGUUCCACAGAAUGUCUACUGAUCACUUACAUCACCAAUAAUUUAAUUGGCAAAGACCUCAUUGCAAACAGCAAUGUCCCUACAGGACAAUUAAAAUGAGAGGGACCAGAAACUUUCAUCUCCAUUUUUAUGAGCAGAAGAUAAGUCUGUAUUUUACAGUUAAUAUCAGUGCAAAAGUCAAUCUAUUUCUCCCCAAGGGAAAAGAUGUAAAGUGAACACUCUCUUUAAAAAGGAAGGAGGGGUAGCAGUGUGUGGAAGGAUUCUUAUUUAGGGAAUAUGAGCUCCUAUAUCACUUAGCUCAUAACAUCAGCUGAGCCUUCUACUCUGAUGCUAUCUGGAGAGCCCCACUGUGAAGACUGGGGUGUCCAGGCUGAAGAGACAUUGUCAAGUGGUGGUGUGAGAGGAAGACCUCAGCACAGAGUCACUGCAUCUCUGGGCCCAGCCGGAUGCUUGCCCUGAGGACCACAAGAUGCUGCAGGAAAAGGAGAAGACAGGAACGAACAAUGUGUGUGUUGGGGUUGCAGAUUCGACAUCUGUUGUAGCUAUGGGUGACAACUGACACUGGGGACCUCCAUGCUGUGAUUAGACCUGGGGAGCCUGGAGUGUGGCUGGCAUAGAGGAUGAAGGCUCACACUGUGGACCUCCAUGCUGUGAUGAGACCUGGGGUGCCUGCUGUGUGGCCAGCAUAGUAGGUGAAGGCUGACACAGACACAGGAGAGUGUGAGUGUGAGGUCAUUGCAGGAGAGCAUGGCUGAUGCUUCUGCUUUGCAGCCCUUGAGGUGACACCUUCCCUGAGCCCUGCUGCUGUGCUCCAGGCUUCACAGGCUGUGUAGAGCCCUCUGUGAAGUCUAAUUCUCUCCUUGGUCCACUGGGAACCUCAGUCCUUAGAGCCCCAACACUGAUGUAUCCAGAUUUAGAAGAUGUUCCUCUGUUGAUUGUGA